ensembl:rRNA 5S_rRNA 5S ribosomal RNA
GCUUACGACCACACCGGCCUGAGUACGCCUGAGUACGCCUGAUCUCGUCUGAUCUCGGAAGCUAAGCAGGGUCGGGCCUGGUUAGUACUUGGAUGGGAGACUUCCUGGGAAUACCAGGUGCUGUAAGCU